rnacentral:rRNA from 1 species
UACGUAGGGUGCGAGCGUUAAUCGGAAUUACUGGGCGUAAAGCGUGCGCAGGCGGUGAUGUAAGACAGAUGUGAAAUCCCCGGGCUCAACCUGGGACCUGCAUUUGUGACUGCAUCGCUAGAGUACGGUAGAGGGGGAUGGAAUUCCGCGUGUAGCAGUGAAAUGCGUAGAGAUGUGGAGGAACACCGAUGGCGAAGGCAGCCCCCUGGGCCAAUACUGACGCUCAUGCACGAAAGCGUGGGGAGCAAACAGG